CCCGCUGAACUUAAGCAUAUCAAUAAGCGGAGGAAAAGAAACCAACAGGGAUUACCCUAGUAACGGCGAGUGAAGCGGUAACAGCUCAAAUUUGAAAUCUGACCUUCACGGGUCCGAGUUGUAAUUUGUAGAGGAAGUUUCGGAUAAGGCUCUGGCUUAAGUUUCUUGGAACAGAACGUCAUAGAGGGUGAGAGUCCCGUCUAGAGCCGAUAGCCGCAUCCAUGUGAAACUCCUUCGACGAGUCGAGUUGUUUGGGAAUGCAGCUCAAAAUGGGUGGUAAAUUUCAUCUAAAGCUAAAUAUUGGCCAGAGACCGAUAGCGCACAAGUAGAGUGAUCGAAAGAUGAAAAGCACUUUGAAAAGAGAGUUAAACAGUAUGUGAAAUUGUUGAAAGGGAAGCGCUUGCAACCAGACUUGUGUUUAAUGGUUCCCCCGAUCUUCUGACCGGGCUACUCCAUUAUAUCCAGGCCAGCAUCGGUUCGGGUGGUCGGUAAAAGGCUCUGGGAAUGUAUCUACCUUCGGGUCGACUUAUAGCCUAGGGUGUAAUGCGGCCUACCUGGACCGAGGAACGCGCUUUUGCUCGGAUGCUGGCGUAAUGGUUGUAAGCGGCCCGUCUUGAAACACGG
rnacentral:rRNA from 1 species